rnacentral:lncRNA from 1 species
UUUUCGUGAUUUCUUUUUUGAUCACAAUUUUCUUCGGACCUCUUUUAUUCGUCUCGUUCGUCGCUGUUGAACGCUGCCGCGUCGAAGGUUCGUCGUCGUCGAAGACUCGCUUUUGAUGAAGACUUGUUGUCGUCGAAGACUUGCUGUCGUCGAAGGAUCCUAUAGAAAGUUUGCCAGACUCUGCCGUCGCCGACUGUUGAAGGCUCUACCAGCAUUGUCGAAGGUUCUGAGAACACUUCUCGCUGGAAAGAGAAGCAAAUCUGCAACCCAAAGGUACGAAUGUUCUUCCUUUCCCUUUCAAAAGAGAUAAAUAAAAUGGAGUCUUAGAAUAAGGUCGUACCAGUUUAUUCUUUAGAAGGUAAGUUUACAAGGCCGCUAUGAACUUUUGGUGUGAACCCUAGUCGAUGUUAAUUCCAUAAUGCAUUAAUUGUUCGAUGUGAUUUUCAACAUUUUUUUACCUUGGCAUAUUUGUGUCUUGUUUAGCUUUUGACAGAUGGAAUCCAUGCUCUCCCAGUAUUUUUUUUUUGUUGAUUCUUACCAUUUGAUUAUUGAUAUUGACUUCUAAAGUCCUUUCGUGUUGAAAUGAUUUGCGAAAUAACUUCAUUUUACAAAGAAUGCAUGGUUCUUCACAAACAUCUUCUUACUUGUAUUUAGCUUGAUUGCUAGGUGUUGUUUAGGGCUAGAAUUGACUGAAGAAAAGUUUCUGAGCAUAUGAUUGUAUUGGUUUUCUAUACAAGGAAUAUAUCUUUGGAUUUCCUGAAGCAAAGACCAUAAUUCAGUGGCUUGCAGCUUCUCAGGUAAUUUUAUAUUUUUAGCCAUCAUUGUAUCAGGUAAUUUUAUAUCUUUGGGUUCUUGACCCAACAAUGUUCUGGUAUGGAUACUCUUAUUUCAGCAAUCUUGAAUGGUGGAGGAGCACUGGGGUCUUAUAUAACUAGGCAUACACCAGUUAUAUUCUCUCCAUUCUCAACAUUUUAAUUUUGAUUAAUUUGGGUUGUAUGACACAAUUGUCUAUUUUUUAUCAAAUUUGUACGGUUGUUGUUUCUUCUAUGUAUAAUUAUUUUAUCCAAUGUGGCUUUAGUAAUACCUUAUUGUCUAUUAUUCAUCAAAUUUGUCCUGUUGUUGUUUCUUCUAUGUAUGAUUGUUUUAUCCAAUGUGGCUUUAGUAAUACUCC